rnacentral:rRNA from 1 species
CACUCCUACGGGAGGCAGCAGUGGGGAAUAUUGGACAAUGGGCGCAAGCCUGAUCCAGCCAUGCCGCGUGAGUGAUGAAGGCCCUAGGGUUGUAAAGCUCUUUCACCGGUGAAGAUAAUGACGGUAACCAGAGAAGAAGCCCCGGCUAACUUCGUGCCAGCAGCCGCGGUAAUACGAAGGGGGCUAGCGUUGUUCGGAUUUACUGGGCGUAAAGCGCACGUAGGCGGACUAUUAAGUCAGGGGUGAAAUCCCGGGGCUCAACCCCGGAACUGCCUUUGAUACUGGUAGUCUUGAGUUCGAGAGAGGUGAGUGGAAUUCCGAGUGUAGAGGUGAAAUUCGUAGAUAUUCGGAGGAACACCAGUGGCGAAGGCGGCUCACUGGCUCGAUACUGACGCUGAGGUGCGAAAGCGUGGGGAGCAAACAGGAUUAGAUACCCCUGUAGUCCCAUGAU